CACACCGCCCGUCACACCACGAAAGCUUGUUGUACCAGAAGUCGUUGGGCUAACCCGCAAGGGAUGCAGAUGCCGAAGGUAUGACAGGUAAUUGGGGUG
rnacentral:rRNA from 1 species